GGGCGUAUGGUCUAGAGGUAUGAUACCUGCUUUGGGUGGUGUUCAGCUAACUCCUUGCAGGGGGUCUUCGGUUCGAAUCCGGAUUCGCCCC